rnacentral:lncRNA from 1 species
GGAGGUGGCUCGGGCCGCGCCGAGGGGACCACGGGACGCCCUCCUUCCCUUCUCAGGAAACUGUGAGUGCCCCCCGCCCACAAGCCCGUCGCCAGGAUGCCGCCAACUAGAGCAAAGUGAAACCCCCAACAUUCUCGGGAAAGUGCGGGUCCCUCCCUCUCUACAGCCCCUUAAAUGCACGCCCCAGGGCGGCCCCUACCUGGAGCCAAGAGAAACCGCUGCCCUUCUUGGAGAGGUGUGGGCCUCUCCGCGCCCGCCCUUGCUGUCCCCUCUCUGUUCCUAACAGGCACCCCCCCCAGGCAGCCCCAACGGGGAGGAAAUGAAACUCUUCCUGCUCCUCUGCUCGGAAAACUAUGGGGCCCCCUUCCAGCUGCUCACGGGGCGCUCAGGGCGAUCCCCAAGGGGUGCAAAGUGCAAUCCCCUCCCUGCUUAGAAAGGCGUAGGCCUUGACAGGCAGCCACGGCCCCUGGUCCUUUCUGGAGCGUCCGAGCUGGGGGCGCUCAGUGGUGAAAGAUGGCGGGGGUGGGGGGCUUUGAGACACACUGCGGAUACCCGCUCUGCGCGGGACCAAGGACGUUCUGCCGCAAGCUCAGAGACAGGGUUGGGAGUGAGGACUUGUGGUCGUGGUUUGGGGUUGGGGGUAAGACCCCUAUCUGGGUCGCCUGGCUGAGUCCUGGUCCUUGGCGACUCACCCCAGCAGGCUGCGUCAGGGGCCCUUCGGUAACACUGGUCUUGUGCUGUCUCAGGCCUGCGGGUGACUCCGUCUCUCCCCAGGCCACCUGUGCCCCUGGAUCAGACACAGGCAAGGCCAGAGGGGCUGGCCCCGCACCCUGGGGCCCACCUCAGGGGUUUGAGGAAUGCAGCAGUCUAACUAUGCACUCCACUCCUGGAGGCAGAAUCAUUUUUCUUUUUUCUUUCUUUUUUUUUUUUUUUUGGUCUUUGCUUCAUCCUGAACCUGCCUGGGAUAAUGACGUGAUGGCUGGAGUCCCAGCAGCCAGUUCGAAGCAGGAAGUCUCCUACAGGAUAGAAGUUGUCUGUGUGUUGUUUGUUUGUUUAUUUGUUUGUUUUGAGAUGGAGUCUUGCUCUGUGGCCCAGGCUGGAGUGCAGUGGCACAAUCUUGGCUCACUGCAACCUCCGCCUCCCGGGUUCAAGUGAUUCUCCUGCCUCAGCCUCCCCAGUACCUGGGAUUACAGGCAUGCACCACCAUGCCAGGCUACUUUUUGUAUUUUUAGUAAAGACAGGGUUUCACCUUGUUGGCCAGGCUGGUCUCGAACUCCUGACCUCAUGAUCCGCCCACCUCGGCCUCCCAAAGUGCUGGGAUUACAGGCAUGAGCCACCGCACCCGGCCAGAAGUUGUAUUCUAAGCAUGGCAGAACACGUUGAGCAAAGGUAUCAGGGUGGCUGAUGAUACAGCAGGACGGCUGUGCCAGCCCGACUCACAUUCCCAACUUCUUUUACAGGACAAAGGAGUACAUUUUUAUCUUACCAUUUGCUAAAGUUAGGUUUCUAUCAGCUUUCUUUAAAUCACUUUUAUUUCUGGUUUUCAUUACCAAGGUCUGAGCCCAACUUAGAGACCUCCCGUGAGGUUCUUGUGGGCAACCAAAGCACUUAAGAGGUGUCAGAGCAUCACACACCAUGUCUGCUGCACAGACGAUCAAAUGAAGCUUUUGAAGUCAGUGGAUGAUGGGUGGAUAGAUGGGUCUGGGGGUAGGAAGUGGUGGAUGGAUGAAUGAAUGGACAGACAGCCAUCUGGAUGCGUGAAUGGAUGGAUCACUUGCUGGAAGGAUGGAUAAAGAGAUAGAUGGCUGGAUGAAUGAAUAAAUGGGUGGAUGGAUGGAAAGAUGAGUGGAUGAUUGGAUGGAUAGAUAGUUGGGUGGAUGGAUGAAUGGAUGGAUACAUAGAUGAAUAAAUGGAUGAAUGGAUGGGUGGGUGGAGGAAUGGAUAAAUGGACAGAUGAAUAAAUGGAUGGAUGAAAGGGGGGAUAGACGGAUUGAUCUAUGGAUAGAUGGACAGAUAGAUAAGUGGGUGGAUGGGUGGGUGGAUGGAUGGUUGGAAGGAUAGGUGGAUGGACAGAUUACUGGGUGGCUGGAGGGGUAGAGAGAGAUGGGUGGGUGGGUGGAUGGAUGGAUAGAUGGGUGGACAGAUUACUGGCUGGCUGGAUGGAUGGGUAGAGAUAGAUGAGUGGGUGGAUGGAUGGAUGGAUGGAUGGACGAAUGGAUGGAUGGAUAGAUAAGUGGACAGACGGAUAGAUAGCUGGAUAGAUGGGUGGGUAGAAGAAGAAUAGAUGGAUGAGUGGAUGGAUGAGUGAAUAGAUGGAUUGAUGGACAAACAAGUAAAUUUUUACCUGACAUUUUUGUAUUGUGUAACUUUCUGUGUGUUCAUUCAUUGGGAAACAAUUGUGAUACAUGGAUAUUGGACUUAUUAGCUCACGUCUGCUGAUAAGAAAACAACACAGGGCCAUAGAGUUCAUUAGCAGUGGACUGGGAUCAAAACGAAGGGCUCUUUGAUUUUGAGUUCAGGCCAUUUGGACCACUUUGCCUUGUGACUGCCCCCAAAUCACUGGAAUUUUCCUCGGGGUUCACAGCGCCCAAAGGUAAACAGUAUUUGGUAGCCUAGAGUUCAUACAUUGGAAAUUUCAUGGUCUGUGCCCCCUCAGUGGUGCAAAGCAUUUUUACAGCAAUAAUUAAUUUGGCAAUAACUUAGUGUGUGAGCCUGUGUAUGCGUCUUUUCAGCUGGCUAGUACAGUACCAGUGAUGCCAUGUUUGCACACUAAAUACCAGCCAGAGACAUGCAAGAAAAGAAGGGCAGGCCAGGCACAGUGGCUCAUGCCUGUAAUCCCAGUACUUUGGGAGGCCGAGGUGGGUGGAUCACCUGAGGUCAGGAGUUCGAGACCAGCCUGGCCAACAUGGUGAAGCCCCAUCUCUACUAAAAAUGCAAAAAUUAGCUGGGCAUGGCAGUGAGUGCCUGUAAUCCCAGCUACUCUGGAGGCUGAGGCAGGAGAAUCACUUGAACCUGGGAGGCGGAUGUUGCGGUGAGCUCAGAUCACACUACUACACUCCAGCCUGGGCGACAGAGCAAGAUUACAUCUCAAAAAAAAAAAAAAAGAAGAAGAAGAAGAGGGGCACAGCCUACCAGAUCUGCUGAGACACAUGUUUUUUAUCUGAACUUUUGGGGGUCAACUCAAAAUCCAAUCAACAGAUGACAAUGACAUCCUAAAAACUGUUCCCAGAUCAGACAGUAAAAUUUCACAGAUUCUGUCUUUGAGUCAUGGGGAUUUACGUCUCUGUAGAUUCAGGAGAAACAUCUCAUGCAUACAGUUCCAGAGAGUCAGGGACCAGCCUCUUCUGUAAAGAGGGAAACAAAAUGAAAUUGCGCAUUGGCAUGGACCGGACGCAAGAAGACAUCACUGAUUUAAGCUCCUUUACAAACUCUAUCCUAGGAAGCACUUUCCUUCUUCACUUUCAGCAGUCAAGCCUCUCCAAUGUCAUUGCGUCUAAACCUGUUGACAUGAUGGGGCUGUGGUUCACCUGGAAGAUGGGCUCUAUUCCUGACCAUUCUGAAGGCAAAGAACUUGAAAUAAGUUCAAAUUCAAGUUGCAGCACAUCCACGGAGCAGCUGGAAGUGCUGCCUGUGGCCUGUCGUAAUGGCAGGGUAGCAGUGAGAGAGAAAUAUAUUUCCUCACCCAUCAUUGGGUUCAUGACUAAGGCCCCUAGAACAAAAGACAAUAGCAAGAGAAAAGCAGGCCCAUGUAUUUAGGUUUUACGUGACACAGAAGCCAUCAUAAAGAAAGAAACAGGAAAAUCUGAGUAUUUUUACGCUUAGGUUUUCUGGUUUUUUGUUUGUUUGUUUGUUUGUUUUUGAGACGGAAUCUCACUCUGUCACCCAGGCUGGAGUGCAGUGACGGGAUCUCAGCUCAUUGCAACCUCCACCUCCUGAGUUCAAGCGACUCUUACCAUGUUGGCCAGGCUGGUUUCGAACUCCUGACCUCAGUUGAUCCACCCACCUCGGCUCCCAAAGUGCUGGGAUUACAGAUGUGAUAUGCUUACUUUUAAUGAAGAGUGGACAGUGAUGGAGAAGUAUGACUAUUGGACAAAAACGUUACAGGAAUGGGGUCCCAAUCCAGACCGCAAGAGAGGGUUCUUGGAUCUCAAGCAAGAAAGAAUUCGGGGUGAGUCCAUAGAGUAAAGUGAAAGCAAGUUUAUUAGGAAACAAAAGGAAUAAAGAAUGGCUACUCCAUAGAGCAGCCCCGAGGGCUCCUGGUUGCCCAUUUUUAUGGUUAUUUCUUGAUGAUAUGCUAAAUGGGGGGUGGAUUAUUCAUGCCUCCCCUUUUUAGACCAUGUAGGGUAACUUCCUGACGUUGCCAUGGCAUCUGUAAACUGUCAUGGUGCUGGUAGGAGUGUAGCAGUGAGGACGACCAGAGGUCACUGUUGUGGCCAUCUUGGUUUUGGUGGGUUUUGGCUGGCUUCUUUACUGCAACCUGUUUUAUCAGCAAGGUCUUUAUCACCUGUAUCUUGUACCAACCUCCUAUCUCAUCCUGUGACUUAGAAUGCCUUAACCAUCUGGGAAUUCAGCCAAGUAGGUUUUAGCCUCAUUUUACCCAGCUCCUAUUCAAGAUGGAGUGGCUCUGUUUUACAUGCCUCUGGCAAAAGGAUCUGAUCUAAUGAGAAUAAACUGCGGGAACUUAGCAGGGCCUGUUUGUUCAGAUUCUUCUGUGUCCCUGCAUGUUCAGAGUUAAGGAUAUUCUCUUCCUCCUGGUAUAGGGAGGGCGCCUCUGGAAUGAGGGUCCCCUGACCUGCUUCAGGGUAAGGUCAGAGAGUCCUUCCGAGGUUUUAUGGCCUAUGCUAAAGAAGAACCAUGAGGGUAAGGUGAAAGUGACCUUCUUACUUAAAUUGUUUUCUCAAAUGCCACAGUUCCAUAUUUUGGUGGAAUGUUUUCUGAACCCCAUCAGGAAAAGCAAAGCAAUGAGAAAACAAUCUGGGGGGACAAGACAAGGAGAUAUAACAGAUGGGGGAGGUUUGUGGUUGACUACAUCACUCUUGGAGGCAUUCGACCGAGGAAUAUUUCAGAAUCUCUGGUAACACACACCAGGAACAGCCUAAUCUACUCCCUAAAAGGAGUCUAGUUCAUUACUGAGUUUAUGGCUUCCCUACAUUUCCCUGUUUCUGACCACAACCAUUUUUUUUUUUUUUUCUGGAGACUGGGUCUCCCUCUGUCGCCCAGGCUGGAGUGCAGUGGCGCAAUCUCGGCUCACUCCAACCUCCGCCUGUCGGGUUCAAGCGAUUCUCCUGCCUCAGCCUCCCGAGUAGCUGGGAGUACAGGCAUGCACCACCACGCCCAGCCAAUUUUUAUAUUUUUAGUAGAGAUGGGGUUUCACCAUGUUGGCCAGGCUGGUCUCAAACUCCUAACCUCAGGUGAUCCCUCUGCCUCGGCCUCCCAAAGUGCUGGGAUUACAGGCGUGAGCCACCAUGCUCACCUCCCCCGCCUGCCCAAUUUUUUUUUUUUUUUAAUUAGCCAGGCAUGCUGAUUGCUUGAGCCUGGGAGAUGAAGACUGCAGAGAUGUAAUUGCACCACUGCACUCCAGCCUGGGCGACGGAGACCCUAUCUCAAAAUACAACCAAAUAAAACAAAAAACAAGAAUGCAGACUCAGAGUCCAGCCAAAACCAGGUUUUAGCUGCAAGACAGGUUAUAGGAAGGAGAAAGGAAAAGGCUUUCCUAGCAAAAGUGGGCUUGUUAUGUACAUGCAGCUUCACAGGUAGCAGCCCCCAGAGAGAAGAGAUGCUGAAUAUUUCUUUUCAGGUCUUUAAAGGCACCAUACUCUCAGUUAAUCUCUCCUAGAUCCGGACAAGAGAAGAGUUGGCUGCCUUACAGGAGACCCUCUGCAGAUCGACAGACGCAAGGUCCCCCACAAAAGACAGUGUUUCUUCUUCUUUUUUGUUUUUCUUCAAAUUUUAUUGUAAAUUCAAGGGUGCACGUGCAGGUUUGUUACUAAGUAAACAUGUGCCAUGGUGCUUUGCUGCACAGAUCAACCCGUCACUCAGGUAUGAAGCCAGCAUCCAUUAGCUCUUCUUCCUGAGGCUCUCCCUCCCCCUACCCCCGACCUUUUCACAGACCCUAGUGUGUGUUCUCCUCCCCGUGUCCAUGUGCUCUCAUUCUUCAGCUCCCACUUAUAAGUGAGAACAUGCAGUAUUUUAUUUUCUGUUCCUGCAUUAGUUUGCUGAGGAUAACGGCUUCCAACUCCAUCCGUGUUCCUGCAAAGGACACGAACUCAUUCUUUUGUAUGGCUGCAUAGUAUUCCAUGGUGUAUAUGUACUAUUUCUUUUUUUUCUUUCUUUCUUUUUGAAAUAGAGUCUUGCUCUGUCACCCAGGCUGGAGUGCUGUGGUGCAAUCUCAGCUCACUGCAACCUCCGCUUCCCGGGUUCAAGCGAUUCUCCUGCCUCAGCCUGCCAAGUAGCUAGGAUUACAGGCACCCACCAUCACACCCAGCACAUUUUUGUAUUUUUAGUAGAGACGGGGUUUCACCAUGUUGGCCAGGCUGGUCUUGAACUCCUGACCUCAAGUGAUCUGCCCGCCUCAGCCUCCCAAAGUGCUGGGAUUACAGGUAUGAGCCACUGUGCCUGGCCACCGCAUUUUCUUUAUCCAGCCUAUUAUUUAGGCAUUUAGGUUGAUUCUAUGUCUUUGCUAUUGUGAACAGCGCUGCAAUGAACAUACGCAUGCGUGUAUCUUUAUAAUAGAAUGAUUUUUCCUUUGGGUACAUACCCAGUAAUGGGAUUGCUGGGUCAAAUGGUAAUUCUGCCUUGAGGUCUCUGGGGAAUCGCCACACUGUCUUCCACAAUGGUUGAAUUCAUUUACACUCCCACCAACAGUGUCACAGUGUUUCUAUUUCUCCACAACCUCGCCAGCACCGGUUGUGUUUUGACUUUUUAAUAAUCACCAUCCUGACUGGUGUGAGAUGGGGUCUCAUUGUGGCUUUGAUUUGCAUUUCUCUAAGAAUCAGCGGUGCUGAGGUUUUUCCAUAUGUUUUUUUUGGCCAUAUGAAUGUCUUCUUUUGAGAAGUGGAAAGAUAGCAUUUCAGGAGUAUUCCCCAAUAUAUUAAAGAAAUAUAUUUUGAGAUAAAAUAUUUUUAUUUCCUUUAGUACAUUUUAUUUAUUUAUUUAUUUUUCUUUGAGACAGGGUCUUGCUCUGUCACCCAGGCUGGAAUGCAGUGGUGUGAUCUUGGCUCUCUGCAACCUCCACCUCCCGGGUUCAAGCAAUUCUCCUGUCUCAGCCUCCCAAGUAGCUGGGAUUACAGGUGCCUGCCACCACAGCUGGCUCAUUUUUUUCUAUUGUUAAUAGAGAUGGGAUUUUGCCAUGUUGGUCAGGCUAGUCUCAAACUCCUGACCUCAGGUGAUCAACCCGCCUCCCAAAGUUCUGGGUUUACAGGUGUGAGCCACUGUGGCCAGCCUGUUUCUUUUCUUAUACAAACAAACCUAUAAUGGUAAGGUUUAAUUUAUGAAUUAGGCACAGUGAAAGAUUAACAACAACAGACUAAUAAUAAAAUAGAACAAUUACAACAAUAUACUGUAGUAAAAGUUAUGUGAAUGUAAUGUGCUCUCUCUCUCUUUCAUGUGUGUGUCUCACUCUCUCUCUUGAAAUAUCUUAGUAUUUUCAGCCAUAGUUGACCAGUGAUAACGGAAACCACAUGUUGUAGGCUGUUCUUGCAUUGCUGCAAAGAAAUACCAGAGACUGGGUAAUUUAUACGAAAAAAAGAGGUGGGCCGGGCACGGUGGCUCACGCCUGUAAUCCCAGCACUUUGGGAGGCUGAGGCGGGAGGAUCACUUGAGAUCAGGAGUCUGAGACCAGCCUGGCCAACAUGGUGAAACCCUGUCUCUACAAAAAAUACAAAAAAUUAGCCGGGGGUCAUGGUGGGUGCUUGUAAUCCCAGCUACUUGGGAGGCUGAGGCAGGGGAAUCGCUUGAACCUGGGAGGUGGAGGUUGCAGUGAGCUGAGAUCACACCACUGCACUCCAGCCUGGGCGACAGCAAGACUCCUGUCUCUCUCACACACACACACACACACAAAGGAGGUGUAAUUGGCUCAUGGUUCUGCAGGCUAUGGAGAAAGCACGGCACCGGCAUCUGCUCAGCUUCUAGGGCCUCAGGAAGCUUCCAGUUAUGGUGGAAGAUGAAGUGGGGGUAGGCACAUCACACGGGAAAAACAGGAGCAACACGGGGGUGGUGAGGGUGCCACAGCACUAAAACAGCCAGAUCUGGCAAGAACUCACUCACUAUUUCGAGGACAGAAGUAAGCCAUGAGGAAUCUGCCCCCAUGACCCAAACACCUGCCACCAGGCCCACCUCCAGCAUUGGGCAUGACAAUUUGACAUGAGAUUUGACAGGGACAAAUAUCCAAACUCUUUCACCGUGGAAAGCAAAACCACAGAUGGGGCGGGAGGGCUACUGUACAUUGUGCAGAAAUGCAGCUCCUCGGAGCCGGCUGGGGGAAGGAGCAGGUCUCUCAGCUGCUGAACAGUUUUGGGAGAUUACCUACCAUCACUUCUCUCUGUCCCAGAAUCACACAAAAUGGUCAGCUGUGCCAAGUGCCUUGCCCAGUUCUCUGCACCUUUCCUUCUGUCUCCUUCCACGUGUGACCACCCCCUUCACCAUCCUGUCGUCGCGUCUAAAGCUCCCUCCACACAUUGCGUGAUAGCCAGUAAGUCUAGACACAAGGUGUGAAGGUAAGGACAGCAACUUUAUUUUGAAGAACCAGCAAGUCAAGAAGACAGAAGACUGCUGUCCUAAAAAGCCAUCUUUUUUUUUUUUAAUUUAUUAUUAUACUUUAAGUUCUGGGACACACGUGCAGAAUGUGCAGGUUUGUUACAUAGGUAUGCAUGUGCCACGGUGGUUUGCUGUACCUGUGAACCCAUCAUCUAGGUUUUAAGCCCCGCAGGCAUUAGGUAUUUGUCCUAAUGCUGUCCCUCCCCUUGCCCCCCACCCUGCAACAGGCCCCGGUGUGUGAUGUUCCCCUCCCUGUGUCUAUGUGUUCUCAUUGUUCAGUUAUGAGUGAGAACAUGUGGUGGUUGGUUUUCUGUUGCUGUGUUAGUUUGCCGAGAAUGAUGGUUUCCGGCUUCAUCCAUGUCCCUGCAAGGGACAUGAACUCAUUCUUUUUUACGGCUGCAUAGUAUUCCAUGGUGUAUAUGUGCUACAUAUUCUUUAUCCAGUCUAUCACUGAUGGGCAUUUGGGUUGAAAGAACCAUCUUAAUAGAAUUUUAGGCUGCUUUUAUGCCAGGGGGAGAGGGAGGGUGGUAGAGGGCAAGAGGUGAGCAAUGACCACAGACAUCUGGGCGGCUAUUAUGGUCCAAGGGGCCUUGUGGAACUUCCUCAUCCUUGGUCAGGUCACAGUGCUCUUAUAAAUCUUUGACAUAACAUUGUUCCUUCUGCGCACAUCCUCCUGAUCCCCUCGGGGGUUAUUUUUGGGAAGGGACUAUGAUCAUUCUUGCUUUAAAGUUAAACUGUAAACUGAAUUCAUGAUUAGCUUGACCUAUUUGUAGGAAUGAGCAAAUGCAGUUAGCUUGUGAGGUGAGAAGCAAGACAGAGUGAACUAUGUUAGAAUUUUCUCACUGUUACAUUCACACAUAGGUUCUUGGCCAAAGAAGCAGACGACCAACACAUUCUCUCUUUUUUUUUUUUUUUUUGAGACGGAGCUUCGCUCUUGUCCCCCAGGCUGGAGUGCAAUGGUGCGAUCUUGGGUCACUGCAACCUCUGCCUCCCGGGUUCAAGCGAUUCUCCUGCCUCAGCCUCCUGAGUAUCUGGGAUUACAGGUGCCCGUCACCACGCCUAGCUAAUUUUUUAUAUUUUUAGUAGAGACAGGGUUUCACUAUGUUGGCCAGGCUGGUCUCGAACUCCUGACCUCAAAUGUUCCACCCACCUCAGCCUCCCAAAGUGCUGGGAUUACAGAUAUGAGCCACCACGCCCGGCCCAACAUGUUCUCUUGUUAGAGGCAUUUGAACCAGAGCAACUCAAUCUUGAAUAGGAGCUGGGUAAAAUGAGGCUGAGACCUGCUGGGCUGCAUUCCCAGGAGGUUAGGCAUUCUUAGUCACAGAAUGAGAUGGGAGGUCAGCACAAGAUACAGGUCAUAAAGACCUUGCUGAUAAAACAGUUUGCAGUAAAGAAGCCGGCCAGAACCCACCAAAACCCAGAUGGCGAUGAGAGUGACCUCUGGUCAUCCUCGCUGCUCAUUAUACCCUAAUUCUAAUACAUUCGCUUCUCAAAAAUACUCCCAACAGUGUUGUGACGGUUUACAAAUGCCAUGGCAACAUCCAGAAGUUACCCUAUAUUGGCUAAAAGGGGAGGAACCCUCAGUUAUAGAAACUCCCGUUUCCCAGAAAACUCUUGAAUUUAGCAUAUAAUAUGGCAUUCAGAUUAUAUGCUAAAUGCCCUUUGUUUAGCAUAUAAUCAAGAAAUAACCAUAAGUAUACUCAGUCAAGCAGCCCACGCUUCUGUUCUGUCUAUGGAGUAGCCAUUGUUUUACUCCUUUACUUUCUUUUUUUUUUUUUUUUCCCUGAGACAAGGUCUCGCUCUGUUACCCAGGGUGGAGUCCGUUGGCACAAUCAGAGUUCACUGUAGCCUCAACCUGUUGGGCUUAAGCAAUCCUCCCACCUCAGUCUCCCAAGUAGCUGGGACCAUAGGUACAUGCCACCACACCCAGCUAACUUUUUUAUUUUUGGUAGAGACGGAGUUUUGUCAUGUUGGCAAGGCUGGUUUCAAACUCUUGAGCUCAAGCAUUCCGCCCAUCUCAGCCUCCCAAAAUGUUGGCAUUACAGGCAUGAGCCACCCUGCCCAGCCCUUUUACUUUCUUAAUAAACUUGCUUUCACUCUGUGGACUUAUCCUGAAUUUUUUCUUGCAUGAGAUCCAAAAACUCUCUUGGGGUUUGAAUUGGGACCCCUUUCCAGUAACACUUUGACUCCUCUCCUGUUCAGAUGUCAUCACUCCCUCCAGCAAACCUGGAGUGUUCAAACUCUUUUCCAUCCAUCCUUUCCUUUCAAGGCAAAGAGGCAACUUGGCUAUUCUCAUAGACACACAGAUAGGAGAUGUAGGAAUUCAUAGGAGACAUUCAACUCAGAUGUUAGAUCUAUUGAUAAACAAGAUGGCAGCUUGUCUUGCUGCUUAGAUAUAAAAGAUGCUGUUGCUUGCUUGCAAAAAAAAAAAUGAAGCACGUUCCUGGAGUUCACCAAUAUGGCGUGGACUUUACCUCCUCAACACUGUCAGUCAGUGCAAGAUGGUCCAACCUCUGGGUGCCAAGACACGUGAUCAUUUUCCCAAUGCCAUUCUCUUAUCCCUUGAGCCUGCUUUCCCACCUGCUAAGGUUUGGAUCUGUGUUCCCACCCAAAUGUUAUGUCAAAUUGUAAUCCCCAACGUUGGAGCUGGGGCCCAUUGGGAGAUGGUUCGGUCAUGGGGGUGCUUUUUCAUGAAUGGUCUAGCAUCCUCUUCUUGGUGCUGUUCUCAUGCUAGUGAGUGAUUUCUCACAAGAUCAAGUUGUUUAAUAGUGUGUGGCACCUCCCUUCUCACUCUCUCUCCUGCUCCUGUUCUAACCAUGUAAGAUGCACCUGCUUGCCCUUUGCCUUCUGCCAUAAUUGUAAGUUUCCUGAGGCUUCCCCAGUCAGGCUUCCUGUCCAGCCUGCAGAACUGUGAGCCGAUUAAACCUCUCUUCUUUAUCAAUUACCCAUUCUCAGGUAUUUCUUUAUAGCAGUACAAGAAGAGCCGAAUACACCACCCAUUGAGCAGAUUGGAAGUGCAAGAAAACUAGCAUAUGCCCCCAUCCUGGAAGCAACCUCAGCCAACACAUGUUGGGAAACGACAGAAAAAGACCCCGGCCUUCCUCACUCUUCCGGUGGGAUGACCCUGAGUCUCCAAGCUCUCAUUGCAGUCACUGGCCUGAUAAUAUCUUCCACUCUCUGUCUUCACUCCCUCUCCCCUCCCACUGCUCCCUGGGACUCACCCCCGCCCACCCUCCCCAAACACAAAAGCUUUGCGGUAAAAUCACGGUCUCAAGGUCUGCUUUGGGGAGAAAAGAGUCACCUCCUUGAAAUCUAGACUUUCUGUGCUUCCAGAAAACAUGUUGAAACGUUACCUGUCAAUUAAAUUCCGGGAAGCCUGGGUGUGUCACACUUUGAAUCAUGUGGACAGACACCAUGAAGAGCCUGGAGUUUGGUGAACUUUGUUGAAACCCCUCCAUCACUCUCGUGGUCGAAUCCAAUCCAAUCCUCAUGUCCUCAUGAGUUCGUUUUCAUUUCCUAAAUGACAUCCAUGGAAAAAUAAUGGGGAGAGAGGAAACACAAUUUUACAUUUGUAUCUGACAGGCUCUGAAAGGGAGCUAGAGAAUGUAGUUAGCAUCCAUAAAUUAUGGAAGAGGGUAUUUCCCAUCUUCUUAACACAUGCAACACUUCUAAGGGGCCUGCAAAAACCCCAGCAGCCUUUCAAUGUCCCCCACAUCUUAGCACACAUAAAUAUUUACAUCUGUCCUAUCAAGAAACAAAUAUGCAUGCAUAUCAUUAUUUUGGAGAUAUAGCGUGAGCACUUUGUUUGCAAGAAAAAAAUAUGCAUGCAUAUCAUUUUGGAGAUAUAGUGUGAGCACUUAUAUUUGUUUGCAAGAAACAAAUAUGCAUGUAUAUCAUUAUUUUUGGAGAUACAGUGAAUGCACUUUUCAGUUACAUGCUCAAAAUGGUAUGCUAAACUGAAAGUGGUUGUCAUUACCCUUAAUUUCUGCAAGGAAUAAACAAGUAUGUCCUGGUGGCACAUUGCUAUGAAUAAAGCAGACUAUUUCAGGGCUAUGGGAGUUCUAUGGAAAGCGUGAGCCAAAACAUGGUUUUUCCUGUGUCUUGUUUAUGAUGCUUAUUCAUAAUGGGAGGGAACAGAAUAUUGGCUUCAUUCAUGUCCUUGAUUUAUGAUGGAAUCCAUAGGAAUCUGCCACCUUGGGUGAAUGAGCAAUACCUAAAGGAAUGUCCUAUAAGAUACCGAGAUAUGCCACCCAAAAUAUGACUUAGGAGACCAAGAUACGCCACCCAAAAUAUGACUUAGGAGACCAAGAUUGCGAUUUUUAUAAAAAGCUCAUCAGCAAUCAUUAGGGUUAGUGGGCUUUUUUGGUUUUUUUUUUGUUUUUGUUUUUGUUUGUUUGUUUGAGACAGAGUCUCACUCUCUGUCACCCAGGCUGGAGUGCAGUGACAUGAUUUUGGCUCACUGCACACUACAACCUCCAUCUCCCAGGCUAAACCAAUUCUCGUGCCCCAGCCUCCCGAGUAGCUGGGAGUACAGGUGUGCACCACCGCACCUGGCUAAUUUUUGCAUUUUCCUUUUAGUAGAGAUGGGGUUUCACCGUGUUGACCAGGCUGGUCUCAAACUCCAGGCCUCCAGGAAUCCACCUGCCUUGGCCACCCAAUGUGUUGGGAUUACGGGAAGGAGCCACUGCACCUGGCCAGUGUAUGUUUGUAAGGCUCACCCACACUGUAGCAUGUGUCAGCACUUGAAACCUUUUUCUGCCUGAAUCACAUUCCACUGUAUGGAUAUGCCAUAUUUUGUUAAAUCCGUUCAUUGGCUGAGGGACGUUUGGGUCACCUUCACUUUUUGGCUAUUUUGAGUAGUGCAGCUAUCAACAUUACGUGUAUAAAUGUACAAGCUAUUUGGUGGACACGUGUUCUCGUUUUUCUCUUGAGUAUGUGCCCAGAAGCAGAAUUGCUGGCUCAUAGGGUGAUGUGGUUUGGCUGUGUCCCCACCCAAAUCUCAUCUUGAAUUCCCAUGUGUUGUGGGAGGUAAUUGAAUCAUGGGGACAGGUCUUUCCCAUGCUGUACUCAUGGUAGUGAAUAAGUCUCAUGAGAUCUGAUGAUUUUAUAAAAGGGAGUUUUCCUGCACAAGCUCUCUCUUUGCCUGCUACCAUCCAUGUAAGACGUGACUUGCUUCUCCUUGCCUUCUGCCAUGAUUGUGAGGCCUCCCCAGCCACAUGGAACUAUAAGUUCAUUAAACCUCUCUUUCUUCUGUUAGUUGCCCAAUUUUGGGUAUGUCUUUAUCAGCAGUGUGAAAACAAACUACUACAUAUGGUAUGUCUUCGGUUAACCUUUUGAGGAAACAUCAGACUCUUCCAUCUCUGUAUCUUUCCAAUUUCAAUCUAAACGGACUCAAAUCUGACUCUUAGACUCCACUCCCCUGGGAAAUGUGAUGUCGGCUAUUAUUGCGGUUCCCUCUCCUCCCUAGAGUCUCCUAAGAAUUUGGGUCAUGCUCCAUUUUCAGACAAUUUGAAAAUUGGUCUGUUAUGGUCUCUGCUCUGAAAAGCUUCAUUCUCAUCCCACCUCCUGCCCCGGCUUCCAGCAGCCUCCCUUAAAAUUCUGGGGAUGCAGACAUCUGUGCUGAGGCUGAGAAGCCAGGAGCCUGGAGACCAGCGUCCCUGGGCAGGUGCAGUGGAACCAGCUGGCCAUGUGCCAAAAUUCCUGUGACCCUUCCCUGGUACUGUGCUGUCUUUGCUGAGAGCUGGCCGCCUGCUCAGGGGUCCCUAAGUCUUACACUGGACAACUGGAUGAGUGAGAAAUAAUUAUUUAAUUGUUAAGCCACAGAAAUUCCAGGGCUCAUGUGUUACAGCCAGUCAUUUCUCAUGAACUAAUACAGUAGAUGGCUUGGAUCAACCCCCUCUGAUGGGAUGCUGCUUCUCUUCUCGGUUGGUGGAAAAAGAAUUUCCAUCAGUCUCUCUCUCCUUGUCUCUCUCUCUCUCUCUUUAUUCCUUUUCCUUUCUGUCUCCAUCUCCCUCUCCCUGACUCUUCUGGCCCCUCCCUACCAUUGUCAGAUAAAAUAUCAGGUUGCACACGGUAACGCACGUCUGUAAUCCUAGCACUUUGGGAGACUAAGGCAGGAGGAUUUCUUGAGUUCAAGAGUUCAAGACCACCCUGGACAACAUAGUGAUACCUCGUCUCUACAAAACAAACAAACAAACAUAUUAGCUGAGCAUGGUGGCACACGCCUGUGAUUUUAGCUGGUCUGGAGGCUGAGGUGGGAGGAUUGCUUGCCCCCAGGAUGUCAAGGCUGCAGUGAGCUGUGAUGGCACCACUUCUUUCUAGCCUGGGUGACAGAACAAGACCCCCAUUUCAAAAAAAAAAAGACACAACAUCAUCAAAAAUUGUACUUAAAUAUAAAAGUUUGAAUACUGAAAAGUCUCCCACAGCAAGCAGGCUUUAAAACUCCAAAAUCUAUCUGUACACAGCACUUUUUUUUUUUUCACUCUUCUCAGAUCUAAGAACGAUGACAGGUGGCCAUGGUGCCUCGUGUCCCCUUGCAGGGGUGCAGGGGUACACACACCUUUUUUUUUUUUUUUUUUAAUUUGAGAUGGAAUCUCGCUCUGUCGCCCAGGCUGGAGUGUAGUGGUGAGAUCUCGGCUCACUGCAAACUCCGCCUUCCGGGUUCACGCCAUUCUCCUGCUUCAGCCUCCCGAGUAGCUGGGACUACAGGCGCCCGACCAUCACGCCAGGCUAAUUUUUUGUACUUUUAAUAGAGACGGGGGUUUCACCAUGUUGGCCAGGCUGGUCUCGAACUCCUGACCUCGUGAUCCUCCCGCCUCGGCCUCCCAAAGUGCUGGGAUGACAGGCGUGAGCCACCGUACCCAGCCUCGGUGAAAACCUCAGAGGCAGGCAGCAUAUUCCCUGCCGAGCCGGUAGGUGGCGCAGUCAGAUAAGCAUUAACUAAAUCACAGCUCCCUCUCCCCAUCAGAAUCUUUAUCUAGAGGGUAACCCCAAACCUGAGAAUUUGGUCAGGUCCGCACACACACAGGCAUCAUCAUUCUUCAGCGCCAUCAUGAAGGGCUCUUCUCCCCCUGUUAAAGGAAACUAUCACAUAGUCUUCCGAAACAGCCAGUCAAAAACUUUGUGAUGCAGGAAAGAACAAAAAAAAAUUAAAGGACGAUUACAGAAUAAAUAUUUACAUUUCUGCCUGUAACACGGACUCUGAAGCAUUGGAAUAAUGAGGACUUGCACACCGCAAAUGGGCAUCAAAAUCGGGCUUUAUACUUGAAAAAUGAAGUUUUGUGUCAAAGAAAAGGGACAUUUCAAACACCACAUUUAUGUUUGACCCACAUAUACAUGUGAUUUUAGCUGGUCUGAUAUUAUAUUAUAUUAUAUAUAUAUAUAUUUGUUUGUUUGUUUGUUUUGAGACAGAGACUCACUCUGUCGCCCAGGCUGGAGUGUUGUGGAGCAAUCUCGGCUCACUGCAGUCUCCGCCUCCUGGGUUCAAGUGAUUCUCCCGCCUCAGCCUCCCGAGUAGUUAGGACUACAGGCGCCUGCUUCCGUGCCCUGCCUCGGCCUCCCAAAGUGCUGGGAUUACAGGCGUGAGCCACUGCACCUGGCCAGUACCUUUAUACCCUUCUGGAAAGAGAACAUGUUCCUUCCCCUGUUGACACUGAAUUAUGUCAACAGUUCUCCCCCAAGUAAUGCAUGGGUUUAAAUCACACAGGUGAUUUCAACUUGCUGCCCCCACUAUUUCAUUUGACAAAGGACACAGUCCUGCCUACCUGAGAGGCAGUGGCUCUACGUAAAAAGUUUUAACACACAGGAAACACCAUUAAAGGGUUAGUGACUAACCCAUAUUUCCUGUUUUUUUGGUUUGUUUGUUUGUUUUCCCCACACAUCCCCACUGGCCUGAAUGAGACCUCAAGGUGUCUCAUUCUUACUUUAUCUUACAAUCACUCUGAUGGUCAAGAAGCUUGAGCACAUGGGAAUUCUUAAAUCAAGGCACAUGAUUGUUACAAAGAAUAGACGCUGAGGUGGGCGGAUCACCUGAGGUCAGGAGUUCAAGACCAGCCUGGCCAGUAUGGUGAAACCCCGUCUCUACUAAAAAUACAAAAAUUAGAUGGGUGUGGUGGCACGUGCCUGUAAUCCCAGCUACUCAGGAGGCUGAGGCGGGAGAAUCGCUUGAACCUGGGAGGCAGAGGUUGCAGUGAGCGGAGAUCAUGCCACUGCACUCCAGCCUGGGUGACAGAGUAAGACUCCAUCUCAAAACAAAAACAACAAAAACAAACCAAAAAAACAAGUUAAUUAGAAUGCAUGGCCAACGUUGUGUUCCCCAGCUCUGUUGGUUUUCACAUUUUUUUCCACAAACGAAAUAAAAAUGAAAGCAAAGCUUAAAGCUAAAAAGCAUACCCAUUUAGACAAUCUGUAAAUAUAUACUUUGUUGAAAUAACACUGUGAGAGUUUGUGCACAUUUCUUUGGUUGUUUUCGUCAUCUGAAUCCAUGGCUGACUGGCUCCCACUCUGCUAUUUUAAAAAUAAAAUGUCCUUUCUUCUAUCGUUUCUGUGGUUUUGUCGCCAACCCAUAUUUGCUGGAAUAAGGUAGUAAAAAACAUACACUAAAGUCUGAAGUCCCCAUCAGCUCUGCUAACUUAUUACUAGUUUUCACACACACUGAGUUUAAUGAAUCUAUGUUUUGGAACAAAGCAGUUACCUUAGGAACUUGAGAGAUGUUUCCGGCCAGGCGCGGUGGCUCACGCCUAUAAUCCCAGCACUUUGGGAGGCCGAGGAGGGUGGAUCACAAGGUCAGGAGACCGAGACCAUCUUGGCCAACAUGGUGAAAGCUCAUCUCUACUAAAAAUACGAAAAUUAGCUGAGCGUGGUGGCACACACUUGUAAUCCCAGCUACUUGGGAGGCUGAGGCAGGGGAAUUGCUUGAACCCAGGAGGCGGAGGUUGCAGUGAGCCUAGAUUGUGCCACUGCGCUCCAGCCUGGCGACAGAGUGAGACUCUGGCUCACGAAAAAAAAAAAAAACCUAGAGAGAUGUUUCCUUGUAAAACCACCCCAUUCUAAAAAGCAGGUGGGUUACAUCUGCUUCCCUGUAAAGAGAACUCUUUCUAGUGUUAGCUGCUCUGUUCAUAGAUAAAAAAUGCUGGACACCUAAAAUGUUAGUUUAAAUUUAUUAAUAGCAUCUACAUAAAAUCUUAGCUAUUUCACACAACACUACCCACUAUCAUAUUUGAAAUAAUCUGAGCAAAUAGUAAAAAGACAUAUCCCAAAGACAACAACACUGGCAGACUAAAGAAAAGCAGAAACCAUGAACUAAGAAGGUAAAAUGCUUUUGAACCUCUAAGCGACUCCUGCUAUUACGGAAACAUCCGUUUUCGUCCAUUGGGUUUUAUCGGUUUUUAUCAUUGGCUUUGUGUUUUGCCUAAAUUAGCAAAUAUAGCAAGUCUGUUUAUGCCUCAGUUAACCUGUAGACUUAACCUCACUAAAAAUAAUAACACAUUAGGAAAAACUAUCAGAAAAAACAAUAACCACACCUCCGCCCCAACACAAAGGCACACAUAAAGAGGGACUGGACACAAAUCCAUACCACAGACUUGAUUUGGUUUACAAACUUGAUUUUGUAACCCAAAUCCUUUUUGUUUUUGAGACACAGCCUCACUCUGUCGCCCUGGCUGGAGUACCCUGGUGUAAUCUCAGCUCACUGCAACCUCCGCCUUCCGGGUUCAAGCAAUUCUCCUGCCUCAGCCUCCCAAGUGGCUGGGACUACAGGCACAUUCCACCACGGCUGGCUAAUUUUGUAUUUUUAGUAGAGACGAGGUUUCACCAUGUUGGUCAGGCUGGUCUUGAACUCCUGACCACAGGUGAUCCACCCACCUUGGCCUCCCAAAGUGCUGGGAUUACAGGCAUGAGCCACCAAGCCCGGCUGCAACCCAGAUCUUGAUUUUUGACCUUGAUUUGACCCACAGAUUUGGGAAUGAGAAGUGAUUACAGAGUUGGAGCCUUGGAGGGAGAGAGGGUUUCUCAUGUGAGCAGGGCAUGGAGAAACAGUAGUCAAAAUCCUGAUUUUGACCAAGAUUUUUUCCAAAUCUUGAUUUUUGACCUUGAUUUGUAAACCAAAUCAGUUUUGUUUUGUUUCCUGCUUUUUUGUUUUUUGUUGUUUGAGACGGAGUCUCGCUCUGUCACUCAGGCUGGAGUGCAGUGACGUAAUCUCGGCUCACUGCAACCUCUACCUCCUGGGUUCAAGCGAUUCUCCUGCUUCAGCCUUCCAAGUAGCUGGGACAACAGGUGCCCGCCACCAUGCCCAGCUAAUUUUUGUAUUUUAGGAGAGACAGAGUUUCACCAUGUUGGCCAGGCUGGUCUCGAACUGCUGACCUCAAGCAAUCCACCUGCCUCAGCCCCCCAAAGUGCUAGGAUUAUAGGCAUGAGUCACCAUGCCCGGCCAAAUCAGUUUCAUAUAGCAAAUUGCGAAAGCUGGUCACUGGAUCACCUGAGUUUGAAUUAUUUUGAAUACUGAUGACCCAACGUGCAGAUCCAGGAGACAGAGCCAGGACCCAAGAUUUUCAAUCCUCCAAAGGAGCCCAGGAUUGUCAAGAAUUUGGGCAAGUUUCCUCUGGUUAAAAAACAAAACGCAUGUUUCAGCAUUCAAAGUGAAGCAGAGGAAAAGCACUUAUUAUUCAAUUACUUUAGGCAAUUGAGUCAAGCCAGAGAUAGACACGAUCCAAAAACUCUUGGGAAAGAUGUUCCAUCUUCUACAUGGAAUGCUGGACCUAUCCCAAAGUUCUCCAGGGAUACCCUGAAGAGUUGUAGCACAUUCAAGAAAGUACACACGUUUCUUCAGUAAACAGACCCAGAGAUAGCUGUCCACCUGGAGCAGAUUCUGGUCAGCCCAUGAGCAGCUCUUACUCACACAGAUACUGAGCCAAUCAGAAGUGAUAAAAUCCUUCCAAUACUUCUAAUCACCCAGGAAUGAAUUAGUCAAUGGGGAACUUUUCCUGUCCUCAUCUGCCUGCCCCAGGGCUCAUGGUUCAUCUUGUCCAUGAGUUUCUACAUGCAACUAUGAGCUAAAAUAAAAACAAACCGGCCCAGGCAUGGUGGCUUACACCUGUGAGCACUUUGGGAUGCCGAGGCAGGCAGAUGACUUGAGGUCAAGAGUUCGAGACCAGCCUGGCCAGCAUGGAGAAACUUCAUCUCUACUGAAAAUACAAAAAUUAGUCGGGUGUGGUGGCGCAUGCCUGUAGUCCCCGCUACUUGGGAGGCUGAGGCAGGAGAAUUGCUUGAACCCAGGAGGUGGAGGUUGCAGUGAGUUGAGAUCGUACCACUGCACUCCAGCCUGGGCGACAGAGUGAGACUCUGUCUCAAAAACAAAAACAAAAACAAAAACAAGCAAACAAAAAACCCAUAUACACAGAUGAAAAAGGAGAAGUCCUAAUCACUGAUAGUAAAUCAAUAGAUUACCGUCCACGUUAGAAGCUCUGUAUCUCAGGACCAAACAACCACAAGCCACAUAUGGAGAGAGCGUUUAGUAGUUCACACAUUGUGAUUUAGGAAGCAACCACUUCUCUGAUUCUAAAAUAAUUCACUCUAGGGAGAGUGGCUGCCCUGAAACAUUGCCUUCCCACCAUAUUUAGUUCAAGAAGUCACUCAGGGAUGAGGAAAAUGAAGGAUAUGUACAUGACUGAAGGAUUAAGUGGCAGAAACAGCAUUUUAUUUUUAUUUUUAUUUUUGAGACAGACUCUCGCUCUGUUGCCCAGGCUGGAGUGCAGUGGCGCAAUCUUGGCUCACUGCAACCUCCACCUCUUGGAUUCACCAUGUUGGUCAGGCUGGUCUCGAACUCCUGACCUCAAACAAUUCACCUGCCUCGGCCUCCCAAAGUGCUGGGAUUACCGGCAUGAGCCACUGCACUCAGCCACUAGCUUCUAAUAAUGAUAAUUCUACUCUCUACUUCUAUGAGCUUAACUUUUUUGUACCUCCCACUUACGAGUGAAAACAUGGGGUAUUUAUCUUUCCAUGCCUGACUUUCUUCACUGAAGAUAUUGUCUUCCAAGUUCAUCUGCGUUGUCGCAAAUGGCAGAUUUCAUUUUUUAUGGCUGAAUAGUAUUCCAUGAUGGAUAGAUACCACAUUUUCUUUGUCUAGUCAUGUGUUAAUGAACAUCUUAGCUAUUAUGAAGAGUGUUGCAAUAAACUUGGGGGUGCAGAUAUCUCUUGCAUAGACAGACUUUCUUUUAAAAAUGUAUACAGUAGUAAGAUUACGGAAUCAUAUGGCAGUUCUAGUUUGAGUUUUUUGAGAAAGUGCCAUACAGUUUUCCAUCCUGGCUGUAUUCAUUUACAUUCCCACCAACAGUACAUGAGUUUCCGUUUGUCCCAAUCCUCACCAGCGUUUUUCACUUUUUGUCUCUUUGAUAAUAGUGAUUCUAACUAGGGUGAGUUGGCCAUGAAUCUGCCUUUUCUGGGGGAGAUUUGUAUUCAGAUCCUUUGAUUUUUUUUUUUGAGACAGAGUCUCACUCUAUCGCCCAGGCCUGGCACCAUCUCGGCUCACUGCAACCUCCGCCUCCCGGGCUCAAGUGAUUCUCCUGCCUCAGCCUCUCAAGUAGCUGUGAUUACAGGCACCCACCACCACACCCAGCUAAGGGUUUUGCCAUGUUGGCCAGGCUGGUCUGGAACUCCUGACCUCAGGUGAGCCACCUGCCUCAGCCUCCCAAAGUGCUGGGAUUGCAGGUGUGAGCCACCGCACCCUGCCCUUUUGGUAAUUUUUAAAUUGGAUUACUGUUGUUUACUCUUGAGUUGUUUGAGAUCCUUGUAAUUUUCCAGAUUCAUCCCCUUUCAGAUGAGUCAUUAUUAUCCCCAAAUAUUUGUAAAUAUUUUCUCCUAUUCUACAGCUUGUCUGUCCACUCGGUUGAUUGUUUCCUUUGCUGAGCAGAAGCUUUUCUGGUUUAAUAUAGACCCAUUUAUCUAUUUUUGGCUGUGGUACCUGUGCUUUCAAUUUGUUGCCCACAAAAUCGUGGCCUAGACCAAGGUCCUGAAGCAUUUCCUCUUCUUUUAGCUUUAGUCAUCUCAUCGUUUGGGGUCUUAUAUUUCAGUCUUUAAUUCAUGCGGAGUUUGUUUUUGUAUAUGGUGAGGGAUGGGGGCUAGUUGUGUUCUUCUGAGUACAGUAUCCAUUUUUUCUAGCACCAUUUAUUCAAUAGAGGGUUCUUUCCUCUGUGUACUUCCCUGCUGCUUUUGUCAAAAGUCACUUGGGUGUAAAUCCAUGUUUUUUUUUUUUCCUGGGAUGUCUAUUCUGUUCUGUGUCUUCCUACAUUAAAAAUCACAUUAUAGGCCGGGCACAGAGGCUCAUGCCUGUAAUCCCAGCACUUUGGGAAGCCAAGGUGAGUGGAUCACCUGAGGCCAGGAGUUCGAGACCAGCCUGAUCAACAUGGUGAAAACCCAUCUCUAUUAAAAAAUACAAAAAAUUAGCCAGACAUGGUGGCGGGCGCCUGUAAUCCCAGCUACUCAGGAGGGUGAGGCAGGAGAAUCACUUGAACCCGGGAGGCAGAGGUUUCAGUGAGCUGAGAUCGCACCACUGCACCCCAGACUGGGUGACAGAGCGAGACUCUGUCUCAAAAAAAAAAAAAAAUCAAAUUCUAUUUGUGAGAAAGGAAUCGUGGUGUAUUGGCUCUGACACCUGCCUUAUACCUUUCCAUCUGGAUGUUCUUUUUGCUCUUGGCUUCACUGUGGGUGUCUGAUAAAUUGUACAGACAAAAGUAAGUUUACAAACUGUCUGAAACUUUGGUGUUUCUUCCCCUGAGGAAUUCCCCUGAGGAAUACCAACUCUUCAUGUGCAGAGAAGUGGAAGUAUAGAAAUUCAAUUAUCCAUCUUCUCUCAGCCGAUGAACAGCUAGAGGCUGGAAACGCAGGUUCAAUUGAAAGUUAGAAGCUGCUGCCCUGGAAAUGUACACACUAUCGCUGAGCGAGGACCUUUUCAUGCACUGUGUGGGCACGUGCACACACACCCACCCACACACACGGGUACGCGCGCGCGCACACACACACAAUUGAUUUCCUCUCUAAAGUGGCAAGAAGAAGCUGCCUGGCUGCAAGCCUUGCUGGCAUGGGUCAUGCCAUCUACAAAACUGUUCCCUUGCUCCCCACUUCUGCUCGAAAACCUUUCACAGACUGCAGAUUCAAGGGAAAGCCACGCCAGCCACCCGGCUAUCUGCUGGGAGACCCUGAGGUGGGCUCUUCUCUUUGCCGUCAGCAGGAAGAGGGUCUCCUCCCUCCCACCUGUGUCAUCCUGGGGGAAGAGCUGUCUCUGGAAUGGAAACACCGGGUAGAAGGGUGCAGAGGAGAGAUUGCAUCGCCACUUUAGUGCUUGAUGAAUUCCUUUUUCCCCGACCCACACAGCCCUCUGAUAUCAUGGUCCAUUUUCCUGGCAUCCUUCCUCAGCUGCAAAUCCAUCCUAGACCAUAGCAGGGGAGGCUAUUUUUACCUGGGUCAGGUCCUAUCUUCUCCUUUGUUCCUGUUUCUGAAGGUCAGGAAUGCCUUACCCUCGGGAGCCAGGCUCUCAGACAAAGGCUCUCCAACCCUGAAGCUCUUUCUGUCUCCCAGAACCAUGGGGCAUCGGUGCUGGGGUCACUGCAUGCAGGUAUAAAAUUUUCCCUCAGUAGUGUGUCACUGCAGGCAGGCGAAGACUUCUACCAGGCAUCGUGGAACAGCUCCUGCUCACCGGUGUUAGGGGCCACAGGGAGCGGAGACAAAAAUCAGGGCAUGAAAGGCCUGAAUUGUGUAUUUGCUGGGAAACUGGGUGGUCCCUGUUCUUACCAUGUCAUGGAUUCCUGGUGCAAGCCCUAUGCCCCUGUCCAACAGCCCCAGCUCCCUCCCUCCCUUAAAGAGAGUAUUCAGGAUGCCCAGCUAGGGAGGAACUACCUCCUUUCCCAAGAAUUUGGGCUCCUUCGGCCUUCUGUGCUGUGCCCUGACCUGUUCGUGUCUCCACCAGACAUCAGCCCUAAACACAGCUCACACUUCAGGAAAAAUGUGUGUGCACCCACGUGCCACCAUGCCUGUCUCUCCAUUCCCCAGGGCUAAGCCCCAGAGAGUAAGGGACAAACGUGGGGUGGAGGGCUUUCUGUGAUGCGAGGGCAGAAACCUGGAUCCUUACACUAAGGCGUCUGUGUGCAUCGCCCCUUUAUCACGGGACUGAGUCUCACACCAAGACGUCUGCCUCACCCCUUCAUCACAGAACCCAGUCUCCCCCUUCCCCUUAUAGAAGCUGUGACUCUGGGCAAGGGUGUGUACUUUUUUCCUGCCUGGGCCCAUCCUGCUUGGUAUCAGCAAUGAGUUAGUUGCAACUUGAAACCCCCUUCCCUGUACAAGAGACACAGAGAGAGAGAGAGAAAGAGAGAAGGGGCAGCUUCUCUCCAUGAGCACCUUCAUUCUUUGAUGAGAAUAUCGCAGCUCACCCAUACCGGGGUGCAGGGUGAGAGUGAGGAAAAGAGGAAAGGAAGGGGACUCCCAAAGAAGGGGUGAGAUGCAAGACCUGGACGAGAGAGAUAUCCACCGCUGCGCUGGAGAGAGGGGGCCGGGAAAAGCAGAGAGGUGGGAGAGGUGAUGGAAAGGCGCGCAGUCGGGGACGCCUGCUCUCCCCCGACCCUCCCCAUCUGCAAAGGGAGGC